rnacentral:lncRNA from 1 species
AUGACGUCACACAAAGGGACCUUUGUGGUCAAGUGAGGGGCGACUGCUCAUAGACCUGGUUACGCCCGGAGCAAGGUGACACUAGGCGAGCCGAGGGGAACACGAGCAGGAGGUUCUCUAUGUCCUACCUUAGAGAUGCCAUCUUCCUCGCCAUACGGAUGAAGUCGAAGUCCCUUAUUCCGAGUUUACCAAAUUAAACCCACUAUAAGAGCGGGUUCAAAGGCUGAGUUUAAGGCCGGAACUCCAGACUGGAUACUCAGGCCAUGACUGCUCAAGACUAACACGUUACGACCGCCUCUCAACGAAGAAGAAAGAAGGAUGGAGACAGAAAUCUUCAGAGAGUGUCAGAGUGUAAGAAGUUGUUUUUGUGUGUGUUGUUAUGUGAUUUAAUAUACAGUAUAAGGCAUGAUUAGCCCAGUUUAUAAUUCCUAUUCACAGUAGGAAGGGAGGAAGGGCUUAUAAAUGUCUUUGAUGGCACUGUUAUUGAUCGAUCCUCUGAAAAGCUAAGAACUUACAUUGAAAGAGAAGAUAUUUUGGAUAGAAUCGAGGAAAAAUACCUUACAGCUGAAGAAGAAUGUGAAUACCUUCUAUGCAAAUCCUUGAAUCAUUGUCAAACAAAUGAUCAUACAACCUAACAAAUAAAAAUAAAGUACCCUAUGUCAUUACAAAAUCUAAAAACCUUUUCAGAGUGAUUCGUACUCUAACGUUAGUUGGCAUCUUCAGCUGUAAGGUAAUUUUCCUCGAUUUUAUCUAACUGGCCAAUAACAGUACCAUCAAAGACAUUUUUUCAGUUGAUAAUCCCUUCCUCCAUCCACAAUGUUGAUUAUCUUAUAGGAUCCUUUCCAUUUUCGGUUAAGUUUCAUGGCAGUACCAGGAAUUGGCUCUAUAUACACCCAUGCCAAAUCACCAACUUUUAGAACAGUAUUUUUCCUACCCCUGUUUGCUCUAUCAAUAUAUUGCCUUGUGUUUCU